rnacentral:rRNA from 1 species
GACGGAGGGUGCUAGCGUUGUUCGGAAUUACUGGGCGUAAAGCGCACGUAGGCGGAUCGAUCAGUCAGGGGUGAAAUCCCAGAGCUCAACUCUGGAACUGCCUUUGAUACUGUCGAUCUGGAGUAUGGAAGAGGUGAGUGGAAUUCCGAGUGUAGAGGUGAAAUUCGUAGAUAUUCGGAGGAACACCAGUGGCGAAGGCGGCUCACUGGUCCAUUACUGACGCUGAGGUGCGAAAGCGUGGGGAGCAAACAGG